UUCUUUAACAAAUAUGAUGAUAGAACGAUACAAUUAAUUUCUAGAUCUUGCAUGAUGUGUAGAAUUUUAUUUUAUAUGUAUCUAGAAUUUUCAUUGAUUUUUGGGUCAACAAUUUUGACAAUUUGAGUAUCCUUGAAAUUGAUUUUUCAAAAUUUAUUUAUGAAAUUUUAUUUGAAGUUUUUGGGGAUGGAAAUUGGUUAUUUUUGUUGAUUGAACAUUGUGGAAUAACAUAUAUUUUUUCUGGAAUUUUUUGGAGCUUAAUUUAAAAUUUUUUAAAAUUCUAGGCUCUGGGACCGGUCCCAGGCAGGAGAGACCGGUC
rnacentral:lncRNA from 1 species